rnacentral:lncRNA from 1 species
GGAAUGGACAGUUAUGUUGACAGGAUGUGGUAUAAAUAACCCUUGAGACACAGGAGCGGCAGAGGUAAUGAAGUGCCUCAAGGGAAAAGCCUUAACUAUCAAGGGAUGAAUCCACUCCCUUGUGCCACAAGCCAGAGGUCACGUGACUUAGGAAUGUGUAUCCAAAGAUAAUACUACCUUCAGAGAACUCUACUUACAGAAUGUUGAUAAGAAUGCAGAAAGAUGCAUAGGAGCAAACUCAAGUGACAGAAAUAAAGACACCUUGAGAAAUCAACUCAAUCCAAACAAGAGCAACAAAAUUGAACAUCUGGUUCUGAGUAUGUGUGGUUUGUACCUUCCUUACUGCCCACUGUUUCACUGUGGAUAGAUAUCACUGGGGGUGCUUCUUCCAGCCUGUCUGUUUUGGGGUCUGAUUCAAAACCAGCU